rnacentral:rRNA from 1 species
UACGUAGGCAGCAAGCGUUGUUCGGAGUUACUGGGCGUAAAGGGUGCGUAGGCGGCCCUGUAAGUAUGGUGUGAAAUCUCCCGGCUUAACUGGGAGGGUGCGCUAUAGACUGCGGGGCUCGAGUGUGGGAGAGGAAAGUGGAAUUCCUGGUGUAGCGGUGAAAUUCGUAGAUAUCGUCUGGAACGCCAAAGGUGAAAACAGACUGCUGGGAGUGUGCUGACGCUGAGACACGAAAGCCAGGGGAGCAAACGGG